AGAGGUGUGUGCGUGCUGACCUCGCGCCAUUGCGGCAGUACCAGUGAUCACAGAGACUCGCUAAGGGUUGUUCAAAACGUCGUUAGAUUUGUCACUAGCGGGGUCUGAAAAGUCGCUAAAUCUAGCGACAAAUUCGCUAAAUUGGCAACAAUGGACAGAUCACUCAGGUCGGGUCUAAGUGGCAACAGAUGCAUCAGUGGGCCUGAUGACUCCCACACAGGGACAAUUAUCACAGUGUCACUGUAAGCAGAGGAUCACGAUUCAACACGUGAGUGGAUUGAAGUUGAAGGACGUUGUUAAGGUUGAGUGGAGUCUGGGUAGCAUUAUGAAGAGGCUCUUCGUCAGGCCAGUGGGGUUGAAGGAAGAACCGUUGGAGGGAAGUGUCCGGUUGAGUUCUUCCUCUACAAUCAUUCAUGCUUUACAGGGAUACGUCACCCAGAAAUAAAACUUAUGUCCUUAUUUACUCAUCCUUCUGUUGUUCCAGACCUGUGUGCUGUUAGUUUUCCAUGGAAAGCCAAACAAGAACAGCUGAAGAAUCAUAAAGGGAUAGUUCACCCAAAAAUGGAAAAUUAUAUCAUUAAUUACCCGACCUUGAUUGUGGUAGUACCCCUGCUGUCUACAGAGGGUCAGAAAGUUCUUGGAUUUCAUCAAAAAUAUCUUCAUUUGCAUUCUGAAGAUGAACGAAGGUCUUACAGGUUUGGAACAACACAAGGGUAAUUAAUGAAAUAAUUUCUGUUUUGAAGGGGAACUAUCCCUUUAACCAAGCUCUUUUCCCAUGUUGUGUAGUUUCUAUGUAACUAGCACUGCCAAAUUUUUUAUUUUGUUUUUCUUUAAACUUUUCCCAUCUUCCAUUGGUCAAACAAACAGAUAGCCCCACCCCUACCCCAUGUCAUUGGUUAAAAUUGUCUCUAACUGUAAAGAUUCUUCAAAAAUUCUCCUUUUGUGUUUCUAGGGGGAAAAUGUGAAAUGUGUGAAAUAUUACUAAAAAUGUAUAAAUAUUGUGAACAUUUGAAGUAAGUUAUUAUUAUUAUUAUUUAAAUAUGUUUUAAAUAUAAUUUAUCCUUCUGAUGCAAAGCUGAAUUUUCAGCAUCUUUACUCAAGUCUUCAGUGUCAGAUCUGAUGUGUUGAUUUGCUUCUCAAGAAACAUUUCUUAUGAUUAUCAAUGUUGAAAACAGUUGUGCUGCUUAAUAGUUUUGUGGAAACUGUGAUACUUUUUUUCAGGAUGAAAACAUUUUAAUAUCAUUGUUUUUAUUAAUAGUUUGAAUUAGUUUUUUAUUGCUAUUUUCUGUUUUCAUUUUGAUUUUAGUUAAUUUGGU